UCCUACGGGAGGCAGCAGUGGGGAAUAUUGCACAAUGGGGGAAACCCUGAUGCAGCAACGCCGCGUGAGUGAAGAAGUAUUUCGGUAUGUAAAGCUCUAUCAGCAGGGAAGAGAAUGACGGUACCUGACUAAGAAGCCCCGGCUAACUACGUGCCAGCAGCCGCGGUAAUACGUAGGGGGCGAGCGUUAUCCGGAUUUACUGGGUGUAAAGGGAGCGUAGACGGCAGUGCAAGUCCGGAGUGAAAGCCCGGGGCUCAACCCUGGGACUGCUCUGGAAACUGUAAAGCUGGAGUGCGGGAGGGGCA
rnacentral:rRNA from 1 species